rnacentral:lncRNA from 1 species
ACACCAAGAGCUGAAAUUGCAUAGAGGCCAUCAUCACUUGCAUUCACAAUUUCCAACAGAACAUCUGGACCGUGCUUGAGUCAAGGAUUUGGUAAGGAAAAAGGAGACAAGUUAGACAGUUAGACCAUGUUAGGGCAAGCAAGCAGGAUGAAAAUUGCACACCUGGAACCAAAAAUGGUAACAUCAUUGGGUACAAAUAUGUUCUUGCCCAAAGAGUCACCUCCAGGAUGGUAUAAAAUUUUAUUACUUUGGCGCUUCAUAGGUACAAGACAACCUUCAGAUUAUAGGCCGGUGAGUGGGACCCUCACGCUAGUCUCUUGGCAUUGCUAAUCUAAAUGUAACU